rnacentral:rRNA from 1 species
AACUUAUGACCACGUGAACCCAAGCCACUACCUUGCGUAGUGUGUCUUGGUGUGCUCAGGUCAUCCUUCUGGAGAGCACUUCUACCCUUGAUUGGGUUGGUCGUGUGAUCCAGAUCAUUUACUGUGAGAAAAACAAAGUGCUCAAAGCAGGCUUUACAGCUUGAAUGCGUUAGCAUGGAAUAAUAAGAUAGGACUUUGUUUCUAUUUUGUUGGCUCUGAGGAACAAAGUAAUGAUUGAUAGGGAUAGUUGGGGGUGCUCGUAUUUAACGGUCAGCGGUGAAAUGCAUGGACCCGUUAAAGACGAACCUAUGCGAAAGCAUU